GGAGUGCGAGCGGCAGCCGCAGGGAGUGGCGGCCAGGCGCGCUCGCGGGCACGCGGCAGCAGGCCGUGCGGCGUGGGGAGCCGGAGCGACGGCGGCUCGGCCCAGGAGCAGGCGCGGUGCACGGCGGGCCCAGGAGCGGGCGAAGGCAGGCGCUGGCGGCGCAAGUGGAGCAGGCACAGGCGCGGAGGUGAACGUGGUUCGGUCUAGGAGAAGACGCGCGCAUGCCCAGUGAACUGGCGGCGUGAAGCAAACGCGUGAGUGGCACGCGGGCCAAGCGGCGCUGGGGCGAAGCUCGCGGCGUGGCGGCACGCGAACAGAAGAGAAAGAACUGGUGUGGCAGCGUGCGGUUGCGGCACGGAUAUGCUGGAUACGAGCAGCCCCGAGCGAGCAAUGGCGUGCAGGACACGUGUGAGCGCAGCAGGUGCGAGACCCGGGCGGAGGCGAGCAACCCGGAGUGGGUAGUGAUGUGCGGAGUGGCCCAGGCGCGCGGGUGAGGCAGCAGGCGUGCGCGGCGGCGGCAUAGGAGCGGUUCAUGGGCAGUGCCGAGCGAGUGGCGCAAGCAUGCGUGUGGUGGCGCGUGGGAGUUCGCGAUAUGGGCAGGUGUUGAGCGGCCGGAGCAGAACGAACCCACGGGCACGAGCAGAUAGUGUUGGAGUGCGACGUGCCGAGCAACGGCACGCGUAGGAGGAGUUGCGAUGGAAGGCUUCUACGCGAGAUGCGAGAACUAUAUGGCAUCGACCCUAACUACGCCCCGGUGAUCUCUGGUGGUGCAAGAGUGGUCGUGUCGAGGACGCGAGCUCGCUCGCGCGUGAGAUGCACGAGGGACAGCAAGCUGGAAGGAGAGGAGGCAAAUCGAAGGUGACGGUUACGGCGAGGCGAGUCGGAAGGAGGAGUUGUGGAGCGAAGGCGGCAGUUAGGCGUGACGAGCUCGGAGGAGCCUCGAUGCAACCAAGCACGGCAGUCCUGCAGGAAGCUACGCGGGUGUGCCGGCCGUGUUUUAGCGGCACGUGUGCGUGAGCAAAAGACGACUCAGCUCGUGAGCAGGAAAACCCUAGGGUUCGCGGAAAAGACAAUAUAGUGAACCCGUUCGGCUCCAUCAUCUCGUCCCAGGGGUCCAGGACGUUCAGCAGUUUCUACCCUCAUGGAUCGCUCAACCGCUAUCACCACGAGUCACCACGAAGACUACUCCUUCGGCCAUCUUCCACCCACGGCAACCAUGCUCGGCGAACUUCUUCGUCACCCAUGGAAUCUCGUCAUCGUCGAGCUCAUCUUUAUCGCCGAUGCUGUUCACCGCGGGAAUUUACUUUCCACGUGUUCUCCUUCAUAACCAAGGCUACCCCAAGGUUUGCCCUAAUCCACUGAAUCUUUCUAAUGCCGGCGAUUCCUUUGCCGGAAUAUCAUCGUUAACCUCCUGUUAUCUGUUUUCGCGGACCAGGGACUUGAUUGCUAUGUUUUAGAAAGUUCUAGGGUGUUCUUUGUAAAAUUUCCAAAGCUUUCUGUAUUUCAAAUCGAUGAACUUCUACAUUUCAUACAUUUUCGUAGGAAGUUUAUAAAAAGGUAAAAUCAGUUUUGUUUGAAAAUCUAAGUCAAACCCUACAAGUUUAUGUUGUGAUCUUGAAUUGAAAAUCUUGAUUUGUGGUCUAGGUUAAAUGUUAGGGAAUGAGUGCUUUAUUAUACCUUGUGUUGUAUGCAUAUGUUGUAGCUGAAUAUAGAUCAUAGGAUAUAUGUCUCAAGUGCAGAUGUGUGAUAUCUAGUUAAUCUUUUCAUAUGAGUGCUCUUAUCCUUACUGUCAAGACGUUAUCUUUGUCUUGAUUGCCGUUUCCUUAAGAUCCUUUUCGUAAAAGGAUCCCUGUUAGUUUAUGUACUUUUGUUGCUUAGCUUAUACACCUCUGCGGCUAUGCUUCAACGUCGGCUAUCAGUUCAGCCGCUAAGCAUCCGUUUCCCUUGAGUCUAGGAUGUUUCUGUGUAACAGCUGUCAGUCGAUACUUCUACCAUCGGCUGAUUAGCUGAUACGGUUGUUACCUUUCUAGUAUCGGCUACUGUCGAUACAAUUCUUUUAUCUGUCCUACAUCGACUGCAUAGAGUCGAUGUAUCAAAGGUAUACACACAAUCUUAGGGUUCUUGCCAUCGGCCGACCCAAGCCGAUUUUGGUUGCUUUUCCAUAUCGGUCAAACACGGCCGAUCAAUCCUUAGUUUUCCCCCCUCCAUAUCCACACGCUUCUAUCAGUCGAUUUAUCGACUGAGAGGUCGGCUUUAUACUUAUCGGUCAUAUACCCUCAACCACACUCCUAUCAGCUGUACGUCACUCAAUUGUUGUGCUGACGUAACCGAGCCGACACAACCACACCUAGUUACCCGGGUUAACACUUAAGCACAUCUCAAUUAAGUUAUAGCUGCUUUAGGAAUCAUCCCUCUACUGAAGUAAUCGAUCCUUCCAUCGAUCAUCUAGGAACCCGAUGCACUCAUCAAUCGGCUAAACCUCCAUUGUUUCCAAUCGACUCUGUUGUAAUCCUCAACAAGUAGCCGAUUCUAACUAGUUGUCCAGCUAAAGCUCUGUUUAAGUUUAGCUUCAAAUCUUUUUGGGUGUAAUGUGAAUUGUGUGUUAUAUGAGUGUUGGCUUGUAACUGUAUUGAGGAGUAAGGUAGCUUUAUGUGCACACUUUGAAUGUAAUGUCGCAUUGCAUGUAGAUACAACUUCUUCAACAACGGUACCUACGAGAUCUCUCCGGAGUCUGCGGAGGAUAUUCCUGAAGACCAAGUGAACGUCACCAAGGGAUUAACUGAAGCCCCGAACCAAAGUUCGGAAGAUGUUGACUUAUUGACUUCAGACCCACCAGUAAAGGCAAGCCCCGGACAUAUCCCACUACUUUAUUUACACCGCAAUCUACAUCUAUUUAUCUACACUUAUGCAUUACGUCUAGGAGUUGUAAUGAAAACCCUAGAUGCAUUGAUACUAGGAACCAAUGUAUUGAACCUGAGUCCUUAUCGGAUAGAUGCUCCGCUAAUAGGACCGGUAGAAGUCGGGUGAUUUCCUGUCACUCGCGCGAUAUAGGAGUUGCAUGUUUACUAUUCUGCAACCACUAUAAGGAUGACGGACAGGGUCAUGUGCUGUGUCAUGACCUGGAAGUUUACCCUGUCUGUUUCGUUAAAAGUUGAUAAGGUCGAUAUGUGUGGUAGUGGUGGCUAAGCGUUUGAACAGUACUAGCCACAUGCCGCGAAAUAUGGUAAAGCGGUAAGCCUAGUAACCAAUCGGCCCAGUAAGUGGACAUACCUCCCACCACUCGAUCUUUAUGUUAUGUUCACACGCACCGACCUGUGGGAGUACGUUCUGCAUGGCAGACAGGAAUACGGGUUUUGUAGUCGCGCUACAGACGUAUGUCCUGCACGAGUGAUGUGCGUACGGUCCUACAAGUCGCUUGUGGUGGCCUGUCCAUGAGUCGGAAUGAAAGGCAAACGGUUGCUUUGGAACGAUCUUUGGAUGUUCCAAGCGUGUGUGUUAGGUUUACCUUGCAAGGUUGAAUCUCGAUUCAGGAAUCGUCCGCCUCUCACGAUGUAUGAGACUGCUUAUCCCUUUUACCACAUCGAGUAAAAAGUGUAAUUGUUGAAGAAAUAAUCUUGAUGGAUGAUAAUAUCUACAUUGCUUGUUUAGUAUAGGUGCUUACCUAGAAUGGCUAAUCAAACUAGAAUCUGAAAGCUAAAACUUGAAAAUAGGUUAUAUUCUUAGUUGCUUUUCAGCUAAAACUAAACCCGGAACCAUUACAAGCUUUCAUGAGUUUAGUUAUGGGCUAAAGUAUACCCAAUCCCGGGUAAGCCUUGCUGAGUAUUAGUAUACUCAGCCUUGCUAGCUAUAUGUUUUGCAGGUAAUAUCUUGAAGACCCUACUCUUCCCUUGUCUUGGCCCUGUGCUCUUCCAGAUGGUUGGUCCGUGGAAUGGGAUCCGUCCCCGGCCAACAUUGGUGAUACCGAGUGAUGUCGUGCCUAGGCUUAGCAUGACAUCCGUCCUGACGACGUGCUGUGCAUUGACGCGUAUGUUUUCCGCUGCUAAAAACCAUAAACUUUAUCAGUUUGUAAUGUUUUCUCCAAAUUUGAAACUUCGUACUACUUUUAGAAACCCUUGUAAUGUAAUUUCCUGUGAUGUAAAAUAUGAUGGUGACUGUAUCUCUGGACUCACCAUCGUGUGAGGUAACCUUAUUUGAUCCUGUGUAUCGGUGGUUUAUCGGGACGUUACCCGACAGGCCAAGGGAUUAUACCGUUUGAAGCACGUUGGAGCCCUCGGAAGUGGACUCGCAUACUUGAGCCGGUAUAAUUCAGGUUGGUUCUGCCACACCAGCUGUGGCAGAACCGCCGGAAUUAUUCCGGUUCAAGUGCGCUAGUCAUCGCUGUCCAGCUUAACGCACUUCAAACGGAACAAUCCAUUGGUCUGUCGGGUCUCCGCCCGAUACAACCACGGUUCAACAGGAUCGAAGCAGGUUUACCUCGCACGAAGGCGAGUUUACAAUCAUAGAAGAGCUCAUCAACUUUUAAUUUACAGCCAUACAUACAUUAUUACAAACCGAGUUCAAAAACAAUUAAACUUAUACAAACAGUGUUCAAACUGACAAGUAU
rnacentral:lncRNA from 1 species